GCAGUCGAGCGAGACCUUCGGGUCUAGCGGCGGACGGGUGAGUAACGCGUGGGAACGUGCCCUUUGCUACGGAAUAGUCCCGGGAAACUGGGUUUAAUACCGUAUGUGCCCUUCGGGGGAAAGAUUUAUCGGCAAAGGAUCGGCCCGCGUUGGAUUAGGUAGUUGGUGGGGUAAUGGCCUACCAAGCCGACGAUCCAUAGCUGGUUUGAGAGGAUGAUCAGCCACACUGGGACUGAGACACGGCCCAGACUCCUACGGGAGGCAGCAGUGGGGAAUCUUAGACAAUGGGGGCAACCCUGAUCUAGCCGUGCCGCGUGAGUGAUGAAGGCCUUAGGGUUGUAAAGCUCUUUCAGCUGGGAAGAUAAUGACGGUACCAGCAGAAGAAGCCCCGGCUAACUCCGUGCCAGCAGCCGCGGUAAUACGGAGGGGGCUAGCGUUGUUCGGAAUUACUGGGCGUAAAGCGCACGUAGGCGGACUGGAAAGUUGGGGGUGAAAUCCCGGGGCUCAACCUCGGAACUGCCUUCAAAACUAUCAGUCUGGAGUUCGAGAGAGGUGAGUGGAAUACCGAGUGUAGAGGUGAAAUUCGUAGAUAUUCGGUGGAACACC
rnacentral:rRNA from 1 species